AAUCUUUAAUUUAUUGGCUCAUUCUGUCUACCACAUGUGCACAUAAAACCAGAACAAUUGAAAAAUGCUGUAGAACUUAAGGAUCGUUCCAGGAAGAGAAAGGAAAUCCAUCUAUUAAGUUUUUCCAUGUGUCUAGUGGAGUAGAUGGAGAUACAACAUCGUCAGAUGACUUUGACUGGCCACGAAUUGUUCUGAAAAUAAAUCCACCAGCCAUGCAUUCCAUUUUGGAGAGAAUUGCAGCUGAAGAAGAAGAGGAGAAUGAUGGUCACUACCAGGAGGAAGAGGAAGGAGGUGCUCAUUCCUUGAAAGAUGUUUGUGAUCUAAGAAGACCAGCCCCAUCUCCUUUUUCUUCUCGUAGAGUAAUGUUUGAAAAUGAACAGAUGAGGAAAGUGGAUCUGAGGAGGAAACUUUGCAGUAUUUUUCCACUGUUGAUCCCAACUAUCGUUCUCGCAGGAAAAAAAAAUUAGACUCUCAGAACAAGAACUCUCAGAGUUUUCUCUCAGUUCUUCUGAAUAUUAAUCAUGGAUUAAUAGCAGUGUUCACAGAUGUG
rnacentral:sRNA from 1 species